rnacentral:rRNA from 1 species
GACGAACGCUGGCGGCGUGCUUAACACAUGCAAGUCGAACAGUAAGGCCCUUCGGGGUACACGAGUGGCGAACGGGUGAGUAACACGUGGGUGAUCUGCCCUGCACUUCGGGAUAAGCCUGGGAAACUGGGUCUAAUACCGGAUAGGACUCCUGGCUUCAUGGUUGGGGGUGGUAAAGCUUUUGCGGUGUGGGAUGGGCCCGCGGCCUAUCAGCUUGUUGGUGGGGUAAUGGCCUACCAAGGCGACGACGGGUAGCCGGCCUGAGAGGGUGACCGGCCACACUGGGACUGAGAUACGGCCCAGACUCCUACGGGAGGCAGCAGUGGGGAAUAUUGCACAAUGGGCGCAAGCCUGAUGCAGCGACGCCGCGUGAGGGAUGACGGCCUUC